rnacentral:rRNA from 1 species
AGCGAACGCUGGCGGCAGGCCUAACACAUGCAAGUCGAACGACCUCUUCGGAGUUAGUGGCGGACGGGUGAGUAACACGUGGGAACGUGCCUUUAGGUUCGGAAUAACUCAGGGAAACUUGUGCUAAUACCGAAUGUGCCCUUCGGGGGAAAGAUUUAUCGCCUUUAGAGCGGCCCGCGUCUGAUUAGCUAGUUGGUGAGGUAAAGGCUCACCAAGGCGACGAUCAGUAGCUGGUCCGAGAGGAUGAUCAGCCACAUUGGGACUGAGACACGGCCAAAACUCCUACGGGAGGCAGCAGUGGGGAAUCUUGCGCAAUGGGCGAAAGCAUGACGCAGCCAGGCCGCGUGAAUCAUGAAGGUCUUAGGAUUGUAAAAUUCUUUCACCGGGGACGAUAAUGACGGUACCCGGAGAAGAAGCCCCGGCUAACUGCGUGCCAGCCGCCGCGGUAA